GUCGCGUUAUCAUUAUUAUUAUUAUUGUAUUUCGGUUGGUCCAUGACCCCGGCAGUGUACACGCGUUCCAUAGUAGGAAAAAAAAAAUAAUAAAAAAAUAUACGGGUACAUUAUACGAGAGUGAAUCGAAUUUACACACACACACACACACACACACACACGUGUUUGUGUGUGUGCGCGCCGUCGCGUCGUGCGUAUAUUGUGUCAAACUGAAGCUAAUCGAAUGAACGGCCGUUGAUUACGCGCGAUUUAGUCGCCAUACACCGAGAGUCGCAUUAAAAUUCUCAUAUAUUGAAAAUAUAAUAAUAAUAAUAUAGUAUGUAAUCA